rnacentral:misc_RNA from 1 species
GAAAUGCGAUAAGUAAUGUGAAUUGCAGAAUUCAGUGAAUCAUCGAAUCUUUGAACGCAUAUUGCGCCCCCCGGUACUCCGGGGGGCAUACCUGUUCGAGCGCCGUUAUACUACUAAGGCUCAGCCUUGCGGUGGCUGCCUCCCUGCUUGCGAUUCAUUUUGCGAUGGCAGGGACGGCCGAAACUUAUGGGCGUUUUCGUUAUGAGUGUCCAGCGUAGCAAGUCUCUCGCUGUUAUCCUCUAAUGAUGACGCCAGUCUAACGAAUGUUUGGCCUCGAAUCAGGUAGGGAUACCCGCUGAACUUAA